GAUGAACGCUGGCGGCGUGCUUAACACAUGCAAGUCGAACGAAGCACCUCUCCCGAAGCUUGACACAGCUUGCUGUAGAUUGAUUCAUUUGAGGUGACUGAGUGGCGGACGGGUGAGUAACGCGUGGGUAACCUGCCUCAUAGAGGGGGACAACAGUUGGAAACGACUGCUAAUACCGCAUAGUAAGAAGAAUUCGCAUGUUUUCUUCUUGAAAGAUUUAUCGCUAUGAGAUGGACCCGCGUCUGAUUAGCUAGUUGGUAAGGUAACGGCUUACCAAGGCGACGAUCAGUAGCCGGCUUGAGAGAGUGAACGGCCACAUUGGGACUGAGACACGGCCCAAACUCCUACGGGAGGCAGCAGUGGGGAAUAUUGCACAAUGGGGGAAACCCUGAUGCAGCGACGCCGCGUGAGUGAAGAAGUAUUUCGGUAUGUAAAGCUCUAUCGGCAGGGAAGAUAAUGACGGUACCUGACUAAGAAGCCCCGGCUAACUACGUG
rnacentral:rRNA from 1 species